GAAGACACUGAUGUGUUAGAUUUGGAGGGGUUUAACAAUGUUUUUGGAUGGCAUGCAUAUUUAUGGUAUGACAAAGUUAAAGCAAAUAAGGCCUUUAAGAACCAUAUUGUUAGAAAAUCACUGUUUAAUGUCUGGACAAAAUAUAAAGACUUGCUGGAAAAUAAAACACCAAGGUGGCUUUCACCUUUGGAAGCUAAGGCCCGAAAAAGACCCAAUAUGGAGGCCAAAUGGCCAAAAUAUUGGGAAAUACUAGAAAAGAUGGAGACAAUUGGAAAUUGCAGAGCUUGGAGAAAAUGAAAGACAAAGUGCGAGAUUGGUUACACUAUGCUCAGAUUAAAGAAGUUUUUAAAAGUGAUAAGAAACUAGGGUUCCAGGUGGAGAAAUCGAAAUUAGAAACAGAAUUGUUAGAACCAAAGACUAAGAUACUUUCAAGGAUGUAUAACUUGCUGUUGGAAUGGAAUACACAAGAUGAAAUGGUUAAAUCGGCUAUGAUAAGGUGGGCACAGGACAUUGGGUACAAUAUUAUGUUUGAGGACUGGGAAAGGCUGUGGAGUAAUGGAUUGAAAUUUACUGCAUGUAAUGCUUUGAAAGAAAAUGUAAUGAAAAUGAUUUAUAGAUGGUAUAUGACCCCAGUCAAACUCGCAAAAAUUUACCACCUGUCUGAUAACAAGUGCUGGAAAUGCAAAGAGUGUGAAGGAACGUUCUUUCACCUCUGGUGGACAUGCCCUAAAGUGAAGGCGUUCUGGGAAAUGAUUUACAAUGAAUUGAAAAAGGUAUUUAAAUAUACUUUCACUAAGAAACCAGAGGCUUUCCUUUUGGGUAUUGUCAGCCAAGGGGUGGCAAAGAAGGACCAGACAUUUUUAUGUACGCAACAACAGCAGCAAGGAUACUACUUGCAAAACAUUGGAAAACCCAAGAUCUACCCACACUGGAAGAAUGGCAGAUGCAACUGAUAGACUAUAUGCAACUGGCUGAAAUGACUGGCAGAAUCCGUGACCUGGGAGAAGAGAGAAUCGAGGAGGAUUGGAAGAAAUUUAAGAACUACCUACAAAAACAUUGUGAUUUGAUUGAAUGCUGAAUAAGAUGCUGGACUAAAUAACUGAGCACCACUUAACUUAGAAAUUUUUAAGGAAACAAGAAAAAUUGUGAAAGCUUAACUCUUUAUGAGAACUUUAAGAUUAUGAAAUAUCGAAGAGAUUUAAGAAUUUAAAUAAGAUGAUAAAUUGCUGACAAAAUGUUAUAAUGAUGAAGGUGGGAGCGGGAGAUGUGAGGAAGUCCUAAGAAAAUGUGAAAAUAUGUUAAGACGAAUGCUAUAUUGUUUAUUACAUUUAUUCCUAUUGUAAAACCUAAUAAAUUGCUUUU